rnacentral:rRNA from 1 species
ACACGACUACAUUAGAUACCCCCGUAGUCCUAGGCGUAAAUGAUGCGAGUUAAGUGUGGGGGCAUCUACGAGAUGGCCCUGUGCUGUAGGGUAGCCGUUAAACUCGCUGCCUGGGGAGUACGGUCGCAAGGCUGAAACUUAAAGGAAUUGGCGGGGGAGCACCACAACGGGUGGAGCUUGCGGUUUAAUUGGAUUCAACGCCGGAAAUCUUACCGGGACCGACAGCAACAUGAAGGCCAGGCUGAAGACUUUGCCGGAUUAGCUG